UUCAUAUCUCAUUUGUUUGUUAAUUUGUUUUUGUAAUGAUCUCUUUGUCCCUUCAUUUCUCUAACCCAUGGCUGUACCUAUAUUACCGGUUAAAAUGCAAAUUUUCUUAGAGGCUGGCCCCUACUGUUCAUAGCAAAAGAAUUUUGAUCUCACAAAAUGAUUUGCAUUUGGAUGAAGGAUUCCCACCACAUGUAUGAAUUUGCACCUGGAUGCAAAUCCAGGGAGAAUGGGUUCUGUGGUGGACUUGGGGAGAGGCAGUUGGUGUCUUCGGGGUCAAGGAAAGUAUUACACUCUGUGAAGAAUUCAAUCCUGUGCUACAGAACAAGACUGAGAGUGAAGCCUUUGAUUUUUGUCCUUUUGGAAAGUCUGCUUAGGUCAAAGGAGGGAAGGACACUGGGCCUGUUCACCUUCCUAUGCGACUGAGGAGCAGUUUAUGGCUGGCCAGGUGCAGAUGCCCUAUCUAAUCUCCCCUGUGGCUGUCAUAGCGCGGCAGCUGCAGCAGUUGGAGGGAGGUAGGGAGCUAUUAAAUAUCAAGGAAAUGUUUGUGCUAGUAUUGUCCCAUUUUGGGGUGGUACAGAAAUCCACAAUUUGUUUUCCACCUAGAAGCAUGACAGCUGCACAAGUGGUCUUCAACCUCAUGCCUUACUACCACCAAGUCUUUGUGACUGUGGACAGGACACCAGAAGUUCUGUUAUUAGAUAUUGAUAUUUGGGUUAAAACAUCGUUUUCUUCAGGGACCAGAAGGCUGAUGUCUCCUGGGCCACGGCCUGGCUGUUUAGACAGUUCCUGUUUUCCCAGCUGAUGCCAUUUCCUGGGAGUGGACCUUUAACUCUGUAAAUGAGCAAGCCCAAAGUAGGUAGACCAGAUGGAGCCUGUGGAGGAGGCAGGGGAAGGAGAGCCAGGUGACUUGUCUUUUCUUUGAACUGAUAGAACUUACUGACUAUAAACAGUCUGCAAGAAUGCCAUGACUUCAUUCUAUAUUCCCUUGGGCUUUUGUUUGAACCUAGGAUACCACGUUGAUAACACUGUUCCCCCUUUGCUCUUCUGUGGUUGGGCUGGGAUGAGUGGAAGUAGGGUAGUUCUGCCCCACUUCUUCCAAGCUGCUCCUCUGCCCUCUCCCUGUAAUGGCAGUCCUGUGUUCAAUAGCACUCUGACUUCAGAGAAGCCCAAAAGAUGGCACAGAACCUGUGGGACCCAUUCCAUGGGCAUGCCAGUGCCAAUGAAAAGAGGGAGGGGACGUCUCCCUGGCUUGUAGCCCUCUAGACAGAGCUGAGUUGACAUUCCAACUCCUUGCUUCUGUGGACUAAGUCCUCCCAGAUCCUGCAAGCAAAGCCUCUUCAAAGCCUCU
rnacentral:lncRNA from 1 species